CGAGAAGACCCUAUGGAGCUUUAGACACUAAGACAGAUCAUGUCACACACCCAUAAACAGAUGGUAGAACUUAAUGAUCCCCUGUCCUAAUGUCUUCGGUUGGGGCGACCGAGG
rnacentral:rRNA from 1 species